rnacentral:lncRNA from 1 species
AUGAAAAUUCUUUUCCAUCAUUCACACUGUCCUAACCAAAGUUUUCUGAACUCAAUCCAUAAAUCAUAUUGGACUACUCCUUUCUUACUAAAGUCAAUAGAUCCCAUAUAGGUGCACACUCUAUUCCUACAAUGAAUCUAUUGUAGCCAACAUAUAUCUUAAGGCUCUAUAUGGCUAGAAGAUCGAGUUAUGGUGUAAUCAAACUAUAGCAAUCUCACUAGGGGUGGCAAUC